rnacentral:rRNA from 1 species
UACGUAGGUGGCGAGCGUUGUCCGGAUUACUGGGCGUAAAGAGCGCGCAGGCGGUCGAUCAAGUCGAGUGUGAAAGCCCCGGCUCAACUGGGGAAGGUCAUUCGAUACUGUUCGGCUUGAAGAUAGGAGAGGGAAGCGGAAUUUCAGGUGUAGUGGUGAAAUGCGUAGAUAUCUGAAGGAACACCAGUGGCGAAGGCGGCUUUCUGGCCUAUUCUUGACGCUGAGGCGCGAAAGCUAGGGAGCGAACGGG